GCUCAGUAACACGUGGAGAACGUGCCCUUAGGAGGAGGAUAAUCUCGGGAAAUUGAGGAUAAUACUCCAUAGGUCACGGGGUCUGGAACGACCCGUGGCCGAAAGCCCCGGCGCCUAAGGAUCGCUCUGCGGCUUAUCAGGUCGUAGUGGGUGUAACGUACCCCCUAGCCGACGACGAGUAUGGGCCUUGAGAGAGGGAGCCCAGAGUUGGAUUCUGAGACACGAAUCCAGGCCCUACGGGGCGCAGCAGUCGCGAAAACUUCACACUGGGGGCAACCCCGAUGAGGGAAUUCCUAGUGCCAGGGCCUCUGGUCCUGGCUUUUCUCCGGCGUAGACGACCGGAGGAAUAAGGGCUGGGUAAGACGGGUGCCAGCCGCCGCGGUAAUACCUGCAGCCCGAGUGGUGGUCGAUUUUAUUGAGUCUAAAACGUUCGUAGCCGGCCCGGUAAAUCCCUGGGUAAAUCGGGAAGCUCAACUUCCCGAAUUCCGGGGAGACUGCCGGGCUUGGGACCGGGAGAGGCUAGAGGUACUUCUUGGGUAGGGGUAAAAUCCUGUAAUCCUGGAAGGACCACCGGUGGCGAAGGCGUCUAGCUAGAACGGAUCCGACGGUGAGGGACGAAGCCCUGGGUCGCAAACGGGAUUAGAUACCCCGGUAGUCCAGGGUGUAAACGCUGCAGACUUGGUGUUGGGGGCCCUUCGGGGGCGUCCAGUGCCGGAGAGAAGUUGUUAAGUCUGCUACUUGGGGAGUACGUCCGCAAGGAUGAAACUUAAAGGAAUUGGCGGGGGAGCAC
rnacentral:rRNA from 1 species